rnacentral:rRNA from 1 species
UUCAACAGGGGUGAAAUCUGUAUACACCAUGAAUUUUUUGAUUAAAGUACCUUUUAGGUGGUCAAAUGACUAGGAUUAGAUACCCUAUUAGUCCACUCUUAAUUAACCUGGGUAGUAGUAUCGAAACCUAAAGAAUUUGGCGGUUUCUAAACCUACUAGAGGAACCUGCCCCAUAAACGACAAUCCACGAAAAAAUUCACCCGGGCUAGUUAUGCAGCUUAUAUACCGUCGUUCAGAGGACUAAAUAAAUAGAUCCUCUUAAAAGCUUAGGCUAAUAAAUCAGAUCAAGGUGUAGCUUAUGCCCGGGAGAGGGUGGGUUACAAUGAAAAUUCAUACGGAAUUUCUAUUUUAUGAUAGAAAAGAAGGUGGAUUUAGAAGUAAGACUUAAUAUACUGAAAAAGGCUCUCAGAAAUGUACAC